rnacentral:lncRNA from 1 species
UAGAGUAUUAAUUUCAUAAAGAACAGAGUUACGCAUUAAGGUGACAUGAUGUAGAGGGAUAAACUCAUGAAUAUAAUAUAAACCCCAUCUUUUUAUCCUCGAUGGCAAUAAUACAAUACGUGCCUUGCUGCCCUGUUGUCACUGGGAAAGGACACUGCAAGAUUGAACCCAAAGCUAAGCACUUCUCCCAUUGCAAGAAAUAUCAAUCUAAUAGGCCAAACUAAACUGAUAAUUUGAAGAGAUUUGGAAAGAUAACUUAAUCACACAUAAAAGAAUUCAGACGAGAUUCAAAUAUUUCUCAUAGAUAAACUUGAUCAAACACCUACAAUUCAUCAGAUCUCGACGAACACACCGCAAAAAGAGUAACAUCGACUAGAUCUGCAAGAAGAUCAAAGAGAACAUGGUAUUAAGAUUCAAAUAGAGAGAAGAAGCCAUCUAGCUAAUAACUGUGGACCCGAAGGUCUGUGGUAAACUACUCACAACUCAUCGGAGAGGCCUUGCAAAUGAUGUAGAGGCCCUCCAUGGUCGAUUCCCCCUCCGGUGGAGCGCCGGCAAAGGCUCCAAGAUGAGAUCUCGCGGACAAAGAAGGUUACGAUGGUGGAAUAGUUUUUUGUGGUCGCUUCUGGUGUUUUUGGGGUACAUGGAUAUAUAUAGGAAGAAGAAGUAGGUCGGUGGACUCCCGAGGGGCCCACGAGACAGGGGGGCACGCCCAGUAGGGGGGCACGCCCUCCACCCUCGUGGCCGCCUCGGUUGUUUCUUGACUUCCACUCCAAGUCCUCUGGAUCACGUUCAUUCCAAAAAUCACGCUCCCGAAGGUUUCAUUCCGUUUGGACUCCGUUUGAUAUUCCUUUUCUUCGAAACACUGAAAUAGGCACAAAAAACAGCAAUACGGGCUGGGCCUCUGGUUAGUAGGUUAGUCCCAAAAAUGAUAUAAAAGUGUAAAGUAAAGCCCAUAAACAUCCAUAACGGGUAAUAUAAUAGCAUGGAACAUUCAAAAAUUAUAGAUACGUCGGAGACGUAUCACUACGCAGGUCCGAGCUCUGGAGUUCAAUGCGUCAACUGAAGCUCGUGCGCUACAUGAGGGCUCAAAACGACAACUGGUUCGCGGAAUACCUCCUACGCAUUGGAAACGGAACAGAGGAGACAAAUGAAGAUGGUGAAAUACUACUACCAACAAGUAUAUGUGUGGCAAAUAAGACAGAUGAUAAUGGCCUGGAUAUGCUCAUCGACAGUGUCUACCAAAUGGACAAUGCUUGCUUAAAAGAUCCAAAGUACAUCACGUCAAGAUCCAUUCUAUCAACAAGGAAUGACUCAGUAGACAAGAUCAACCUAAAAAUGAUUGAUCGCUUCCAAGGGGAGGAGAUGGUGUACCACAACUUCGAUUCCGUAGAAGACGACCCACAUAAAUACUAUCCACCAUAAUUCCUAAACACUCUCACCCCAAAUGGACUGCCUCAACAUAUGUUGAAGCUCAAAUUAAUUGCCCAAUCAUACUACUCAGGAACAUCGACCCUGCUAAUGGACUAUUCAACGGCACGAGGUUGGUCAAACGUGGAUUUCAAAAAAAUACAAUUGACGCACAGAUUGUGGUGGGACAACACUCUGGAA